rnacentral:misc_RNA from 1 species
GUCGUAACAAGGUUUCCGUAGGUGAACCUGCGGAAGGAUCAUUACCACACCAAAAACAACUUUCCACGUGAACUGUCUUACGAGAUUCGCGCCGUGACGCGUGUUGACGCUGUGUGUGUUUGUGUCUUCUUUCGAGAGGAUAUUGUGAUGCAAACAGUGUUGACCGUGUGGGUCGGCUGAUCGAAGGUCGCUUUGUGCAUUAUUGUAUGGAGCGGCUGACUUAUUCUUUCAAACCCAUUACACAAUACUACUGAUUCAUACUGUGAGGACGAAAGUCUUUGCUUUUACUAGAUAACAACUUUCAGCAGUGGAUGUCUAGGCUC